rnacentral:rRNA from 1 species
UCUGUGUGACUGCGUACCUUUUGUAUAAUGGGUCAGCGACUUAUAUUCUGUAGCAAGGUUAACCGAAUAGGGGAGCCGAAGGGAAACCGAGUCUUAACUGGGCGUUAAGUUGCAGGGUAUAGACCCGAAACCCGGUGAUCUAGCCAUGGGCAGGUUGAAGGUUGGGUAACACUAACUGGAGGACCGAACCGACUAAUGUUGAAAAAUUAGCGGAUGACUUGUGGCUGGGGGUGAAAGGCCAAUCAAACCGGGAGAUAGCUGGUUCUCCCCGAAAGCUAUUUAGGUAGCGCCUCGUGAAUUCAUCUCCGGGGGUAGAGCACUGUUUCGGCAAGGGGGUCAUCCCGACUUACCAACCCGAUGCAAACUGCGAAUACCGGAGAAUGUUAUCACGGGAGACACACGGCGGGUGCUAACGUCCGUCGUGAAGAGGGAAACAACCCAGACCGCCAGCUAAGGUCCCAAAGUCAUGGUUAAGUGGGAAACGAUGUGGGAAGGCCCAGACAGCCAGGAUGUUGGCUUAGAAGCAGCCAUCAUUUAAAGAAAGCGUAAUAGCUCACUGGUCGAGUCGGCCUGCGCGGAAGAUGUAACGGGGCUAAACCAUGCACCGAAGCUGCGGCAGCGACACUGUGUGUUGUUGGGUAGGGGAGCGUUCUGUAAGCCUGUGAAGGUGUGCUGUGAGGCAUGCUGGAGGUAUCAGAAGUGCGAAUGCUGACAUAAGUAACGAUAAAGCGGGUGAAAAGCCCGCUCGCCGGAAGACCAAGGGUUCCUGUCCAACGUUAAUCGGGGCAGGGUGAGUCGACCCCUAAGGCGAGGCCGAAAGGCGUAGUCGAUGGGAAACAGGUUAAUAUUCCUGUACUUGGUGUUACUGCGAAGGGGGGACGGAGAAGGCUAUGUUGGCCGGGCGACGGUUGUCCCGGUUUAAGCGUGUAGGCUGGUUUUCCAGGCAAAUCCGGAAAAUCAAGGCUGAGGCGUGAUGACGAGGCACUACGGUGCUGAAGCAACAAAUGCCCUGCUUCCAGGAAAAGCCUCUAAGCAUCAGGUAACAUCAAAUCGUACCCCAAACCGACACAGGUGGUCAGGUAGAGAAUACCAAGGCGCUUGAGAGAACUCGGGUGAAGGAACUAGGCAAAAUGGUGCCGUAACUUCGGGAGAAGGCACGCUGAUAUGUAGGUGAAGUCCCUCGCGGAUGGAGCUGAAAUCAGUCGAAGAUACCAGCUGGCUGCAACUGUUUAUUAAAAACACAGCACUGUGCAAACACGAAAGUGGACGUAUACGGUGUGACGCCUGCCCGGUGCCGGAAGGUUAAUUGAUGGGGUCAGCGCAAGCGAAGCUCUUGAUCGAAGCCCCGGUAAACGGCGGCCGUAACUAUAACGGUCCUAAGGUAGCGAAAUUCCUUGUCGGGUAAGUUCCGACCUGCACGAAUGGCGUAAUGAUGGCCAGGCUGUCUCCACCCGAGACUCAGUGAAAUUGAACUCGCUGUGAAGAUGCAGUGUACCCGCGGCAAGACGGAAAGACCCCGUGAACCUUUACUAUAGCUUGACACUGAACAUUGAGCCUUGAUGUGUAGGAUAGGUGGGAGGCUUUGAAGUGUGGACGCCAGUCUGCAUGGAGCCGACCUUGAAAUACCACCCUUUAAUGUUUGAUGUUCUAACGUGGACCCGUGAUCCGGGUUGCGGACAGUGUCUGGUGGGUAGUUUGACUGGGGCGGUCUCCUCCUAAAGAGUAACGGAGGAGCACGAAGGUUGGCUAAUCCUGGUCGGACAUCAGGAGGUUAGUGCAAUGGCAUAAGCCAGCUUGACUGCGAGCGUGACGGCGCGAGCAGGUGCGAAAGCAGGUCAUAGUGAUCCGGUGGUUCUGAAUGGAAGGGCCAUCGCUCAACGGAUAAAAGGUACUCCGGGGAUAACAGGCUGAUACCGCCCAAGAGUUCAUAUCGACGGCGGUGUUUGGCACCUCGAUGUCGGCUCAUCACAUCCUGGGGCUGAAGUAGGUCCCAAGGGUAUGGCUGUUCGCCAUUUAAAGUGGUACGCGAGCUGGGUUUAGAACGUCGUGAGACAGUUCGGUCCCUAUCUGCCGUGGGCGCUGGAGAACUGAGGGGGGCUGCUCCUAGUACGAGAGGACCGGAGUGGACGCAUCACUGGUGUUCGGGUUGUCAUGCCAAUGGCACUGCCCGGUAGCUAAAUGCGGAAGAGAUAAGUGCUGAAAGCAUCUAAGCACGAAACUUGCCCCGAGAUGAGUUCUCCCUGACCCUUUAAGGGUCCUGAAGGAACGUUGAAGACGACGACGUUGAUAGGCCGGGUGUGUAAGCGCAGCGAUGCGUUGAGCUAACCGGUACUAAUGAACCGUGAGGCUUAACCUUACAACGCCGAAGGUGUUU